rnacentral:rRNA from 1 species
UACGAAGGGGGCUAGCGUUGUUCGGAAUUACUGGGCGUAAAGCGUGCGCAGGCGGCUUCUCAAGUCAGGGGUGAAAGCCCAGAGCUCAACUCUGGAAUUGCCUUUGAGACUGAGUGGCUUGAGUACGAGAGAGGUGAGUGGAAUUCCCAGUGUAGAGGUGAAAUGCGCAGAUAUCAGGAAGAACACCAAUGGCGAAAGCAGCUUUCUGGGACGGUACUGACGCUGAGACGCGAAAGCGUGGGGAGCGAACAGG